AACGAACGCUGGCGGCGUGCCUAACACAUGCAAGUCGAACGAGAAAGGGACUUCGGUCCUGAGUAAAGUGGCGCACGGGUGAGUAAUACGUAGGUAACCUGCCUCUAAGAUCGGGAUAACCCGUCGAAAGACGAGCUAAUACCGGAUAAGACCACGGUCCCUUCGGGGACAGGGUCAAAGGUAGCCUCUGCAUGCAAGCUAUCACUUAGAGAUGGGCCUGCGCACCAUUAGCUAGUUGGUAGGGUAACGGCCUACCAAGGCAAAGAUGGUUAGCUGGUCUGAGAGGAUGAUCAGCCACACUGGAACUGAGAUACGGUCCAGACUCCUACGGGUGGCUG
rnacentral:rRNA from 1 species